rnacentral:tRNA from 15 species
GGCGGAUGUAGCCAAGUGGAUCAAGGCAGUGGAUUGUGAAUCCACCAUGC